rnacentral:rRNA from 1 species
CCUACGGGAGGCAGCAGUGGGGAAUCUUGCGCAAUGCGCGAAAGCGUGACGCAGCAACGCCGCGUGGGGGAAGAAGGCCUUCGGGUUGUAAACCCCUUUCAGGAGGGACGAAGGUUCGGCGGUGAAUAGCCGACCGGACUGACGGUACCUCCACAAGAAGCCCCGGCUAACUACGUGCCAGCAGCCGCGGUAAU